rnacentral:lncRNA from 1 species
AUGGUGCCGGUGGUUGUAGUUUCCUCUGCUGAUGCAGCAAGUAAAAUAAUGAAAACUCAUGACUUGGUUUUCUGUGAUAGACCCCAACGUAAAACCUUUGAUAUCAUGCUGUACGGUUCCAAAGAUGUGGCAAGUUGUGCAUAUGGUGAGUAUUGGAGACAAGUAAGGAGUCUCCGCGUGUUACAUCUUCUGAGUAACAAAAGAGUUCAAUCUCAUCGCCGUGUUAGAGAGGAAGAAACUGCGAAGAUGGAACCGCCACUAAAUGGUUGA